UACGUAGGGGGCAAGCGUUGUCCGGAAUCAUUGGGCGUAAAGAGCGCGUAGGCGGUCCGGUAAGUCGGUUGUGAAAACUGGGGGCUCAACCCUCAGAGGCCGACCGAUACUGCCGGGCUAGAGUCCGGAAGAGGCGAGUGGAAUUCCUGGUGUAGCGGUGAAAUGCGCAGAUAUCAGGAGGAACACCAAUGGCGAAGGCAGCUCGCUGGGACGGUACUGACGCUGAGGCGCAAAAGCGUGGGGAGCAAACAGG
rnacentral:rRNA from 1 species